rnacentral:rRNA from 1 species
GACGAACGCUGGCGGCGUGCUUAACACAUGCAAGUCGAACGGAAAGGCCCUGCUUGCAGGGUACUCGAGUGGCGAACGGGUGAGUAACACGUGGGUGAUCUGCCCUGCACUUCGGGAUAAGCCUGGGAAACUAGGUCUAAUACCGGAUAGGAGCCAUUUUUAGUGUGAUGGUUGGAAAGUUUUUUCGGUGUAGGAUGAGCUCGCGGCCUAUCAGCUUGUUGGUGGGGUAAUGGCCUACCAAGGCGGCGACGGGUAGCCGGCCUGAGAGGGUGGACGGCCACAUUGGGACUGAGAUACGGCCCAGACUCCUACGGGAGGCAGCAGUGGGGAAUAUUGCACAAUGGGCGCAAGCCUGAUGCAGCGACGCCGCGGGGGGGAUGACGGCCUUCGGGUUGUAAACUCCUUUCGCUAGGGACGAAGCUUUUUGUGACGGUACCUAGAUAAGAAGCACCGGCUAACUACGUG